AUAUAUUUUAUAUAUAGAAGUAUUUGACAAAAUAAUUGGAAUUAUAGUAAAAAUAGUUUGUGCAUACUGGCAGAAUAAGUACAAUGGAUUAGAUUAGAUAAUUCACAAUGGAUAAACUUAAAAGUUUUAAAAGAAACGAAUAUUGACAUAGUAGCAGUGUUCUAACCGUUUAUGGAGUUUUCACUGGAUUCUUCAGGAGAGUCAAACUGCAUGAUAAUCUGCGGCCGUGGACCAUUUGUUUCUUCUGCACUCUCUAAAUACAGUAGAAGCAUAAUUAAAAUUAUUACCAAUCAGAAAUCACUGUACGUUGUAUGAGUAUAAAUCUAAACAAAAAGCUAUCGACAAAAUUUACACCACGGCAGUGUAGUGAAUAUGAUAUAAACACGUUUUCCAAUGAACAAAACCACAAAACGCACCCUUGCAAUCCGCCAUUUUUUACGUGCAAAUGGAUGCGAACCGGUGCUGCCACCUUCUAGAAUAAAC